rnacentral:rRNA from 1 species
ACGGGAGGCAGCGGUGGGGAAUAUUGCACAAUGGGGGAAACCCUGAUGCAGCAACGCCGCGUGAGUGAAGAAGUAUUUCGGUAUGUAAAGCUCUAUCAGCAGGGAAGAUAAUGACGGUACCUGACUAAGAAGCUCCGGCUAAAUACGUGCCAGCAGCCGCGGUAAUACGUAUGGAGCAAGCGUUAUCCGGAUUUACUGGGUGUAAAGGGUGCGUAGGUGGCAGGGCAAGUCAGAUGUGAAAGACCGGGGCUCAACUCCGGGGCUGCAUUUGAAACUGUCUUGCUAGAGUGCAGGAGGGGCAAGCGGAAUUCCUAGUGUAGCGGUGAAAUGCGUAGAUAUUAGGAGGAACACCGGUGGCGAAGGCGGCUUGCUGGACUGAAACUGACACUGAGGCACGAAAGCGUGGGGAGCAAACAGGAUUAGAUACCCUGGUA